GAUGAAGAACGUAGCGAAAUGCGAUAAGUAAUGUGAAUUGCAGAAUUCAGUGAAUCAUCGAAUCUUUGAACGCUCAUUGCGCCCGCUGGUAUUCCGGCGGGCAUGCCUGUUCGAGCGUCAUUUCAACCCUCAAGCCCCCGGGUUUGGUGUUGGGGAUCGGCUCUGCCCUUCUGGGCGGUGCCGCCCCCGAAAUACAUUGGCGGUCUCGCUGCAGCCUCCAUUGCGUAGUAGCUAACACCUCGCAACUGGAACGCGGCGCGGCCAUGCCGUAAAACCCCAACUUCUGAAUGUUGACCUCGGAUCAGGUAGGAAUACCCGCUGAACUUAAGCAUAUCAAUAAGCGGAGGA
rnacentral:misc_RNA from 1 species